UUUCCGUAGGUGAACCUGCGGAAGGAUCAUUAUUGAAUAUUCUUGAUGGGUUGUAGCUGGCUCUUAGGGGCAUGUGCACACUUGUCUUGACUUUAUUCAUCCACCUGUGCCCCCUUUGUAGUCUUGGGGGUUGAGAGCCGUCGACUAUUGGAUGGCUAUGGCUUUUCCGGACAUGAGGAUUGCUGAGUGCGCAAGCAUACAGCUCUUCUCAAAUGGCUUGCAAAGCCUCUCCCUCGAGUACUAUGUAUUCAUAUACCACAUAGUAUGUUGAAGAAUGUGAUCAAUGGGCCUAUGUGCCUAUAACAAUCAUAUACAACUUUCAGCAACGGAUCUCUUGGCUCUC
rnacentral:misc_RNA from 1 species